rnacentral:lncRNA from 1 species
UUUUUUUUUCUCCGUAGCAAUGUAUGGGCAUUCAACUACUGUCCCUUUAUGUAGACAAAUGCAUGUAAAUUGUGCAUGUUGAUACUUUAACAAAUGAAUAAUUAAGUUUUUGGUUAAGAAGAAUGUUGCUAGCAUCACAUAUGUGAGUGUUCUCCCAUGACAACGCACGGACCCACGAGAAGAUGGAAGAAUUUUUCUCUCCCGUUGCAACGCACGGGCAUUUUUGCUAGUUUUACCAAUACCACAUAGAAAUAAAUCAAUAUGGUCUUGCAAUCAUAUUAAAAUUCUCAAUUAAGUCUCAGUUACAUAGUACUGAGUACAUAACUCUAGAACCAAUACCAAUUUUAGAAGCAAGUAAACAACAUUAAGUCCCUAUCUUCAUAGCAUGUCUCUGGUUCUCUUCAUUCUUCAAUAAUUAUAUGCAAUAGUUAUCUAUUCUCUAUCAAUCAUAAUGACACAAUUGAACACAAAUUAUGUACUAGAUAGUGGAUAGCACAGCAAAGAGCAUCAGCAAACCCUAAAUCAAAAAGUUGGGAAUGGGCACUUGAGCAGUACCUCAAAUCAGACUAAAUGCCACAGGAGCAAGGUUGCUGCCGCGGUGCCGCCUGCCAGCCGAGUGACGGAUUGCGGAUUAGGCGGCGCGGCGGGCGCCAGGUGCAGUGGGCGCUGGGCGCGGAGGGCGCGGUUGACGCCGUGCUCCGGACGGGCGCGAAGGGGAGGCAGGCGCCAGGCUGGGACGGCCUCCGGGCUCCGACGAGCAGGCGAGCGGCGAAUCGAGAGGUCGGGGAGACGGGGACGGACAGGAUAGUGGAUCGCGGCUCGAUUUGUCUCGCGUCUGGCUGCGUGCCGCGAGCCGCGUACGUCGAACCCAUGUGAGGGUGGGCGCCCCUAUUUUAUUUAAUUGGAAAACUUUGUUUUUGUCACUCUAACUUUUGCCAAACUUUUCCUAAUCUCUCCCUAAUAAUAAAGCGCGGAUUGGGUCUGUUAGAUUCACCGUCACGCCCUUUUUGCGGAAAAGCCCCUGUGGUUUUUAUGAAUUGAACCCGCCGUCCCUAUUUUAGUGAAUCUGGAAAAAUGUUUUGAUUUUGCAAACUAACCCAUGUAUUUUGUAAUAAUUCCGCCCGCGCUCCUCUGUUCAUCUUAUCCGCUGGGAGAGAAGUUGGAAAGGGGGCCAACUUCGGCUGGGCUCUCAUCGGAGAGCUCGUCGGCGCGGAAGUUGCAAGAGGUGGGGCGAGGCGGCCGAACGCGGGCAGAGGAGAGACGCAGCGAGGUAGAGGCGGAGGCUUGAGGCGGCGGGGACAGUGAGCUCGCGCGCAAGGAAGGAGUCAAUGCGGAGGAGUAUGAAGGCGCGACGGCCGGAGGAGGUUCAGGCGGCGGGGAAGGUGGCCGGAGCGGGGCAUCAAGGCACUGGAUCGGGCGGGCGGGCGAGGAUGCGCCUCUGACUUGUGUGUGGGGGCGCACAGAGGAGAGCCAGGGGGAGAGAUGACGGGAACGAUUGAGUUUUUUUUAGGCAAAGGGGAUCAAGUGGGAGAUGAGCAUCGAGCACAUGCUGGCUGCGCUAGGGAUCAGAUGGGCUACGAGGUUGGGCCGGGUCGCGCUAUGGGCAAAAGAGAGAGAGAGAAGAGAGUUGGCCAGCCUUUUCUCUAUAUUUCCCCAUACAAAAAAAUACAACUAUCAGCUUCUUCAUAAGAAUGAUUUAUUUGUGGGCUUUCCCAUGAGCCAUGGUAAAUUUUGUAUGAUUUAUUGCAUCAGCCAACUAAUUCACAAGCAUGAUUGCUAGCUUUGUGAGGAAAGGUCGAUCAACUAAGUACAUACAUGGUAACCCGUGUAAUGUUGUUUCCGGCUGACUAACUAGCAUGGCUGAAUGCAACACUGUCCAAGAGGCUCUUCCUGACAAUCCUAAUUCUGCUCUCCAUGCUCAUAUUAACAGGGAUAAUAGUUUGAUGCUACAACAGGGCUGCACCAUUAGGUCUGAUCUUCUAAUCUCAGAAGCCAAAAUAUUUUCUGGCCCUUCUUUCAAAUGUUCAAAAAUUCCAGGUUUAUCAAAUGGAGAUGUAGCUACGGGCAUUGGAGUUUUUUUCAAUUUUUUGCAGGACAAUAGAAGUAUCCAAGUUCAAAUUCAAGCAUCAUCACCACUAACUUCGUCACCUCUACAAGCAGAAGCACAAGCUCUUCUUGCCGCCAAAGCAGCGUAGAUCUUACAAGUCGAGCAACCGACGUUACCGACAAUCUUUCUCUUGCCAAGGCAGCGGCGAACAGGAAAGUAAUAGCAGAUUCCACUCCUUGAAUAAUUAGAGAAUUUCUUGCUGAUUUCUACAUGAUUACCCAACAUCUACAGUCCCAGGUGUUCCAUAUAUCUAGAGAAAUAAAUGGGAUUGCGCACAAUGUAGCUCAUCAGGUUCUUAAUCGCUCUUUGGAACCUGUCUAUAGUUGUUUCGGGUCAGCUCACAGCAACAGAAUAUGCCUUGUCAUUUCUACUCUUUCUACCUUAAAUUUACAGGGUUUUGUACUCCAUGUUGUACACUGCUUUUGAGUUGAAUGAAAUUGGCGCUGAGGGCGCCUUUCCCCGUUCAAAAAAAAUAGCAUGGCUAUCGAAGAGACAUAAUCAGAACUCACAUAUGUAUUUUAUUGUGUUCCAUCAGGCCACCAUUAAGGUAGCAUCUGGGUGCCCUAUAGAUUUUUACUAUUCCAUUUUUUUUGCUAUUCCAAUGACCACACAAGAGUACGCAUUUUGUUGUGUUCCAUCAGGCCACAUUAAGGUAGCAUCCGAGUACCCUAUAGAUUUUUACUAUUCCAUAUAUAUAUAUAUAUUUUGCUAUUCCAAUGACCACGCAAGAGUGUAGGGUGGAUACCGGCAGAGAGGAGGGUCUUUUCAUAGGUAGAUGCUCUGCCAAUAAAGAAAAAUGUUACAAAAAAAAUAGUGGCCUCUUCAUAGGGAUGGUCUGAAAGGACGUCAACUUAGAGCCGAAUAUGCAGGUGCUGACUCAUCACCAUGGAUGAUCAUCCUUGGUUUUUAUAAUCAAUAAUUUGGUGUUACGAUUUAUAACUUUUUCGGUGUCAAGUAAAAAUGCAUAAGGAACUCCGUUUCCAUGAUGUGAAACCCAUGCUAUUUCCUCACUAGACAACAAUACAUCACAAAAUAUUGGCUUCUCACCACACUCCAUCUCGCCGCGUGUGCAUUCUUAGCGAUGUUGUUCCAUUGCUGCUCACUAUGUCACCGCCAUUGUGGCACCGCACAUCCUCUCCUACAAAGGGAAGGAAGAACACCGGAUCACAUCUUGCCGUGUCUUGUCCUGCCUCUACAACCUUUCCAUUCACUUCGUACACGACGACCCUUCCAUCUCCAGUGAUCAACCGCGACCAGGCUCCUUACCUGACCAACUCUGAUUCAUGGCGUUGUGUAAAAUGAGUAGAAGUAUGAGGGGAGGUGUAUGGAUUCGGUGCAAGGGGUAGCUCGCGAAGGGCGGCCCACAUGUAUAGCUUGCCAAGAUUAGCUGUUAAAAAUUUGAACAUUUGCUUGCGUGGACACAAUGACAGGUGUGAGGCGAGCUCAUCGCCUCGAUAUUGACAACAUUUGGACAUGUUGUAAGCAGAUGGAUCGACAUCAUGGUCACCGUGCGGGUGGGAAGGAGGAUAAGCAGUUGGCAUGAUAUAUUUUUCUCUCCCGUUGCAACACACGGGCAUGUUUCCUAUAGUAGUAUUAUUUUUUAACUAGCAAAAGAGCCCGUGCAUUGCAACGGGAGAAAAAUAAAUACCAAAUGCCUUACCCAAUAAAUUAAAUUAGUGACGUUGCAACUAAAUUAUAUGCAAUUGUGCCUCCGAUACGGUUGUCGGUAGGCGUAAGUUGCAAUCGAGUCCGAAGAAGUUUGUUGCAAUAGUGGCAUCCGACUUUACAACAACAGUGGUCAAUAAAUAUGCUACAAGCGGGCCUCGCCGAUAGUGAGGUUGAGGAGGCGCUCAAGAGAGGGUGCCUCGCCGUCAAACAUGAUGUUCCGAUGCUUCCAAAGAAGUCGGGCGCCAAGAAGUAGCAAGCAGGAGAGCCUUUGCGGGGCAGCGAUGGCGCUGUAACGCAAGAGGUCAUGUUGCAAUCCUGGAACCAGUUGUCGAGUUGAGGAGGCCCAGGUGUGCAUCGACACCAAGAGAGGAGCUCAUGCCAGAGUUGGCUCGAGAAAGAGCAGCCGACGGGGAGGUGGUGUAUGCUCUCAGGCUCCAACCAGUGAUCCGACCAGAAACGACAUCUCGAGCCAUCGCCCAGGACACAAUAUGUGGAGGUGCACAUGAUCGCCGGAGCAUCAGGGUCGUGCGGGAUCGGGAGAUGGGACCAAGGGCGGCCAUCGUCAGUCCGCUGAAGCCAGAUCCAUUUGUCACAAAGGCAACUUUUCCUACUAAAAAAAAUGGUGGUCCAACUUUGCAGCAUGCGGUUCGCCUUAGGGCGACAACAAAAAAUAUGCGGUCAGCCUUCCAGCAUUGUGUAUUACUUGUAGCAGCAUUAAUCGGGCUUGUAGUAUCGCGUGUCCCGUUUGUUGGAGCCACACUCAAUUGAAACUACAUGUGGGUUCCAUGAAAAAAACUACAUAUGGACAACCAGAUUUUUUUGGUGGAUGUACAAACAAAAAUAUUGACAGUAUGAAAAAGCAGCACCGAAAAGAUUAGGACUCAGUACGCGCUAAUGGCGGCACACACUGCAGCUUGAUUUUCCUUACGGGGCUACACACACAGGGAAACUCAAUUAGAGCGAAUCAGCACCAUGUAUGUCCUUCCUCUAUUGGGUUAAUUAGUUAACUUGCGUGUGUAGUGCAUGCCCUUCUUUUAUUAGGGGUCUUAAUCUUUCCUAUUGGCAGGUGCGCCAUCAAGCACAAUUUAUGAGUUUAAAUUCUCCUUUGUUUCCAUAGGCAUGGAUGUUCUUCCUUUAUUGGGGGGCUAAUCUUUCCUAGUAUGCACGGAAUUAAAUUCCUUCAUUUUCAUACGCGCAUGUCCUUCCUUUAUUGAUGCACAAUUUUUUUUUAGAAUCACCGGGGGAGGAGUCCCUCCACCUGAAUAUAUUGCUCAAAGUGGCCAUAAUGCAUAAUCUUUCAUGUUGUCACCACCGUGUAGAUAAACCCCUUCCGUUUCGACACAAUAACAGCGUCCACACCUCACCCUCAAUCUUUCAUGUAGAGCUGCGUGUUUUCACUUCUUUCGAAUAGGCACCAACCUUUAUAGGUUACUGUCAAUUAGCAAAAGAAUUCAGAUUUUGCAGACAAGCAUGACCUAGUUCAGGUGAUAGUGGCCUUUUGGUUUGGUGGCGAGGUUGGGAGUUCGAUCCCUAACACAGCCAAAAUUCAGAUUUUGUUUUUGCCUCCCAUUAGAGCUGCUUUCUUCCGGCCGAAACAGUACAAAGAGGUCUCAGAAUUAGUACCACCUCGGAUAGCGAAAAUAAUAUAGAUGAAAAAACUGAAAGCGUAAAUUUACGGAAAAAAGCGUAUUAUGACGGUGAACCUAUGGAGUCAAUCCGUGCUUAUAUAUACACUAGCACAAAUGCCCGUGCGUUGCAACGGGAGAAAACAACAGUUACUAUGAACCAUGGUUGGUUAGAUCGAGGAACUAUACCACAGGAUAACAAUCGCUGGUGACAAUAAAAGGUGCAUCAUUUGAGGAUAACUGAGGGGUAAAGUUGAAAACAUGGUUAAGGUCAAUCCCCGUAAACCACCAUUCAGGGGUAACGUGAAAAAAGGGACCACUAUGCCAUGGAACUUUGGCUAAUACUAAUCUCAGUAAACCACCACUUAGGGGUAAAGUGAAAAAUAGGAAACCCAUAGAAAAACAUGCAUACUAGAAGCAUCUUCAAUAAUGCAUAUGUUUCGAGCAUUUCCCUUCAAUUCCAUCCACAAAACGAGAAACACUUUCUCCAUUCUCAAAUGACUCAGUAAGGAUUGUUGGAUGCAAAGUAGUAUCAUUUAAACGAUGAGACAUAUUUGAAUUUUUUUCGGGAUGAAUCCAAAAAGGUGGGGGUAAAAACACAUAGAGGCACUAUCGAUAGCAGAACUUUGAAAAUGCACCAUGGCAUAGUAUGUGUUACUUUCUGACAUUAGAAUAAGGUUUGUCAGUGUAGCAUUACAUGUAGUCAAGUACAGACUUCACAGUAAAACUUUGCAAGUUACCUGAAACACAAGAUAUACAGAAGGUUAAUUAGUCUAGCUGUCCUUCCUCUUUUUCCUACCACAAUGAUCUUUGAGACACGGCUUCCUAAUACCCAAAAAAAUUAUACAAAAUUGGAUAGAUUAAUGUGAGGGAGCGAGGUGGGACUAUUUAAGCAGGGAAUUAACCUACUUUGUACGGAAUAGUAGAAGGUAGCUCAGUUGGUAGUGCAUGUAAUGUCAUCAGCAUUUAUUUUUGCCUCAAACGGAUAGGUGGGCUGGACAUAACUUAUUGGGCCACAGUGCACCGGCGGCAUAUUAGGUGCCAAAGGUUUAUUGGGCACCUCACACUGUAAGAAAAAUUGACACAGUAUCAAUUAGUACCACCUCGCCUAUCAAAAAAAUAGAUAUAGAGUCAAACUAAAAGCGUAAAAUUACGGGAAGAAGCGUAUUGUGACGGCGAACCCGACAAAGUCAAUCUGUGCUUUAUUAUUACUAGGAAAAGUGCCCGUGCGUUGCAACGGGUAAAAAAAUACCCCUAAUGUCACUGGAGCAAAAACCUGCACCCUUUACUAAAGGGCACAAUGUGUAAAUGUGAGUCGGACACUGCUUAGUGAGACUCAUUCAUGGUCAAUGCUAAUGUGUGUUUCGAAGCAGUUGCUGAGAAUCACGAUCUUCACAUCAUAACAUGUUUGAUAACAUGGAAGAGGUUAAUGCUAGUAUUAAAUACAAAAUAAAAAAAUAAGGAUUCUUUUUGUGUUUGUAGGAAUUAGCAAUAUAUGAAAUGAACAUAUACACAUGUAAAUUAUCUCCAAACAUAUCAAUAUAUCACAUCGACAUAAAAAGGACUAUUGUUGUGAAAAAUGUUUGGAAACUAAAGAAAAUGAUAGUCACGAGUGCUUGCAUAGUUAGACACAUAAUUUUUUUAUCACUCACUUGAGGCAUUAAUAAGUUGUAAAGUUUUUGGAUGUACCAAACUCAAUCUAUUUCAGCAUUGUAAAUGGUAUAGUUGAUUCUGAACCACCCUAUCAUACCACCAAUAAUUAUGUUAGCAUAUAUUUUUAGAACAACAUAUUAUCAAAUAUAUGUAUUGACUGAAAAAAUAAUAAAAAUUAAGGAAAUAGUUUAGUCCUCAUAUAUAUGUCUAGGGAAUGUAGUUGUCAGAACCCAUGCAUAACAACGGGAGUCAUGUAUUAUCAUAGGUCUUGAUUAACAUUCAAAAUGCAUAGAAAUAAAUAACUACAACAGUUAGGUUACAAUUUUCCCUUGGAAGGAAAGCUAGUCUGGCAGAGAACAUUUAGAUCAGUAGUCAUGUGAUGAUGUAAAGCAAAAAAACAUCCACUUAGCUAUCCCACUAUAACAAUUGUUUGACAACAAAUUUCAUGGGUACAUCGGACAAAUAAAAACUUCACAUGGCGCUCCCCCGCAAGGUGAUGCGGAUCUCACUCACUAUGGUGGAGACCGACGCGAGGCGCCUCCGGCAGAAGAAUGCGAAGGCGGCACACCACACCCAGGAGCAGCAGAGCCGCGCCACGCCAUCCGCCUCGGAGGUGAUGGACUGCUGCGCUGCCGGCCAUAAUGGUAAUGGCUCGUCCACGAAGUGGUGUCUUGCCCUCCACAUUGUCUUUUUUAUUAGUAGCUAGUUUAAUCCAAUGAGCUUUGUCUAACUCCUCUCGCUCAGCCCACAAUCUCUCUGUUUGCACACCCGUCUUCAUUGCAAAUGCGUCUCUUCAUUCGGUGUAGCUGUUUUGAUUAGGUACUUCAUCAUGGCCAGCUUGUUGAUAUUUCAGACAAGUUACAAGCGUUUAUAAAUUGGUGGAAAUUAGUAUAAAAAAGCAAGGUGGGACUAUUCAACAAAAGAUAUGCAUGCAUCAUAUUUUAUACAAUAAAAUCUGAAACGUGGCUUCUAGCCCAUAAGAGGCCCAGUAGUGCAUCGUGCCAGGAGAAGGCCUCAUACCACAUUACGUCUGAGAGUCUGUUCCCCGAAUUAGUACCACCUCGCCUAUAUGUUUUAAAUUUAAACUGAAAGCGUAAACUUACGGGAAGAAGCGCCCAGUAAUUAUGACUCAAUACCAUAAUUGGUCCAUGUUCUUUAUUUCCACAUGGCAUCUUAUCUGUGUCGCCUUUUAUCCUCCUUCCCACCUUCCCCAACUACAUAGUUAAAAAACCAAACCGAUGAUCGAACCGAUGAGGCCGUCAUCGGUUGAGGUUUAUACUGGUCGAAUCGCCAGUUCACCAAUUCGAUGUCUUGUUUUUUAUAUCAUAAUUAAUUGGUUUUAUGUAUUAGUGUUACAUACUAAAUAGGAAACAUGCCCGUGGGUUGCUACAUGUAUAAGAAUAAAUAAAUACGCAUGUACAUUAAACUUAAAAAAAGCUCAAACAACUUUACAAAUGGGAAAACAAUAUUAAAGUACUCAAAAGUACCAAGGACCAUUCUUAAAAUGAAAAUCCAUCAUUGUUUUGAUUAUAGGUUUAACUUCCAAUAAAUUGAUCAACGCGGGUGAGCUAUAUAUACACAACCAAUUUAACUUUCAUCUACGCCAGAUAUGAGUACAUGCUUAUAUAUGUGCGCAUGGGUUCAGACAAAAUUAACUGCACUGCCAUGAAAUAAUAUUACAGAAACAACAACUUGAACAUAUAUAAUAGUAGCGUAUUUGCUUUUACAAUUGGGGAGCUCACUCUGUAUUAAAUUAUUUUCUAUUAAUAAAAAUACUAGCUAAAUACCCGUGCGUUGCUACGGUGACAACAGUAAAAUAUCGGUAAUUGCAUUUGGCUCCUAGGUGCAUAUGCACCCAUUGUCGAAAUCCAAAUUCCGAGAAGUUAAAAAAUUCGAAACAAAAAUCCCGCGUGUAUAUCCGGACAUUUUAUGUGCGUUCACAAGGUUUCAGUGAAAAACGACGUUUUUUGUGGCUUGUGUAAAAAAGAUAAAGAAAUGCCUCGUGAAUAGUUAGAAUGAAGCAUCAGAAAUUGUCUUUUUUACACAAGCCACAAAAAACGUCGUUUUUCACCGAAACCUUGUGAACGCACAUAAAAUGUCCGGAUAUACACGCGGGAUUUUUGUUUCGAAUUUUUCAACUUCUCGGAAUUUGGAUUUCGACAAUGGGUGCAUAUGCACCUAGGAGCCAAAACGCCACUCUCGUAAAAUAUACUGUAUAAUACAUUAUGAAAAUAGUCUCUUGUCUCUUAUCGAUUAUCGUGUACUCCUCGAAACCCACUUUAUCCGUGCGACAUCUCAUUCUAUUAUGCCUACCCUGCAAAAUAUCAGUGUGUUGAUCACUCCUUCGAUCCUUGCCACUACACACAUUGGUUCUUUCAUACACAAAUAUCUUUAUCAUGGAAUUUGUUCCCACCGUUUUUCCCAGAAUUAAGUACAUAAUUUGUGCGAGAGGAAUGUUUGAUAUAUAAUCAGCAUAACAAAUCAAUCGAUAGAAUGUUGCAAAAUAAGUAGGACUUGGGAAGAUAUCCAUCGAAUUUUGGUUCAAAUAUAAAUUUUUAUUCCUCUUUCCCUUGUGUUCCUAUUUGGCUAAGUCCUGGAGUUAUUGCCUUUGUCUGUUCAAAGCAAGUGCAGAAACUUCAAAACCAUACUUAGUUGGAGACAUUGAAAAUAAAACAUGGACAACACGUCAACAUCUUACAAUCUGACAAUGAUAUAUAAGAAACAUAUAUUCAAAGUUGCCUGCAUGCUUUGUCAUCACCGAAGGAAAUUUGAACAACACAAGGGGACAGAUGUAUACUGGAUGAUAAAUUAUUUAUAUGCAACAACACAACGUCAAGUUUUCAGAUCAUGUAAUUUAUCCAGUAGGCGUUCAUUCAAUUUUCAACAUUCGUUGAAAAACUAUAGUUCUCCCGGUUGCUCCCUCUCCGGAAAUCACCAUUUCCCUUUCUCCCUCCCAACUCAAUUUUUCGUGGGGAUGGGUUUGGGAAGGCAAAACCCAGUGGGUUUCGUCCCUGUUGCCAUAUUGACCCCCAACCCUGAAGAAGAUAAAGCAUGAUGAUGGUCUUCCUCACCUUUGGCACAUCUCUGCCCUUCCUCGUUUCUGCCUCGGGCUCGCAGCUGCUUUUGUUACAUGUGCACUCUUUAUACAACUCCAAUGAAUUCCAGGUUCUUGUUGCUUCUUAGAAAAAAUGGCUACACAUGAAGGCCACACCAUAAUAUAGAAUUAAACAGGGGACAUGUGGUAAUCUCAAAGUCCCUGCAACCCACAAACAGUAACGUGAACAAAUGUGCAAUUAGCAUUGCCUCUGGCUUCACAUCAUUGAGUACAAAACCCGACGCCAAAGUUUGUUCUUUUUUUUAGCAAAGGGUAUAGUAAGAAAGCAGUGAACAUGUAAAAAUAGCACCCACAUGUUGAGCACUCACACGUGUGGACCAUCCUGUUGCACCAGCUAAACGCCGGCCGUUGAAAGCAUGGUCGAGCCCCCCUUUCCCGAGCUUCCUCUCAACCGUGUACUCGGGAGAUCUUCCUAUCUGGUCCUAAUAAGAUGAAAGGAAGUUACCAUCAAUUUUUGGUUCUCAUUCGACACAAGAUUGACAGUUUGCCGUAUGUGUUUCACUUCAGCUUGGACCAAUUCUGUUGUCGCACCAACAGCUUGCACUGUUGCUGAAUAUGUAAAGUCUUUCUCUAUACAGUAUUUACUUCAAUCACAUGCUUCAGAUUUCCGUAGAAAAAAAGGCUCUCAAACACAUAGGUUUGCAUCAUAGAACUAUAAAGCUAUUAGAAGCAUUGUAGUGGAGUAAUCACUUCCAUCAGAAUAACAACCAUCCUAAUUCUGUGAAUUUUUUCUAAUGAUGCAUCACAUAGUUAUCUUACAAUAGACAUAGUAUGUCAACACCUACAAUUAUUAGUGCAGGACCUACAUACCAUCUAAGAACUAAGAAAAUGCAUCAUGUUCUAAUUGACUCUUUCUGCCGGUAGCAUGUUCAGUUGACUCUGCUCAAUGUAUAUAUGUGUUAAGGUUUGCUAUAUUUAGAAAGUAAUGUCUACCAAACAAACCUCCGUUUGAAAAUUAAAAUUGACAAAACAAUGCGUAAAUUGGGAUAUUUUUCUGAAAAUAGCGACAUAAAGCUAUUGUGCUGCAACAAUAGCAAUAAAAGAUGAAGAUGCCUUAAUGUGUAAAGAAAUCUGAUUGAUCUCCUUGGCAUCCUCCUAUAGCAGGAACGUGUAUUAAAAGUAUAAAUCUCUAUUAUCCAUCAUUCAAAAAAAUCUCAAUUACCUUUGCAAAAAGCAUAUCUUAAUGCAAGAACUCUGUAGUGAGGCUUUGCCUGUUACACAGUGCAAUGUCUGUUUUCGCACCAGCAGCUUUGAGUCUGCUGCUGAAUAUGCGAAGUCUUUCUCCGUCCACUGUUUACUUCAACCACAUGCUUCAGAGUUCCGUAGCAAAAACGUCUCCUGAACACAUAGGUUUGCAUCAUAUAUAGAACUAUAGAGCUAUUAGAAGCAUUGUAGUGGAGUACUCACUUCCAGCAAAUUAAUGUCCACCCUAAUUCUUUCAUUUUUUUCUCUAAUAAUAUAUCAUCCAUGUCGUUCUACAAAGCAAACCUCCGUUGUUUGGAGAGUCUUUUGCUACAUGUGAACAAAACCUACAUGCUAUACAUGCAAAAAUGUUACUGAACUAAUGUGACUACCGUAAAAAAUUAUUUUUCAAGGGCCUGCGUCACUUCCACUAAGGUAUAGCUGUAAAAAAUGUACAAAACAAAAGUACAGAUAACUUCCACCCUGUAGUAAUGAAAACCCAGCUCAGCUCUUCAUGUCGCUCUUGCUCCUGCCGGAUUUGUAGCUCGCUCUCCCGGUGACGUCCGAUGCCGGCUUUGGCGACGGGCGUUGCUCCCCUCCCUGUGAUCGGCGACUUCAACAUGUGUUUCAACUUCCUCCACUCUGCCUCGGUGGCUUGGGAUUGCUCAGACAAAGACCAAGGCGAAAUCCCUGCUCGGUUUGCCGGUGCUGGUAGCGGCGACACCUGCGGGUGUCGUCCCCUUCUUGGAGGCGCUGCCAUGGUCUCCGUCUUAGCCCCUCUUCGAGCAUCAGGGGAAACCCUAGGUCCGGACUUCUGGACCGGACGACGACGGCGCCUUGGCGUUGUUCCCCUUUUUGAAGGCGUCGUCUUGCUCGCUCGCGGCGUCCCCGACGGUGGAGUUGGACGCUAGUUGUCUUCACUGUGUUCGAGUUACUUCUCAGGGCUAGGAGAGUUUGCCGUGUUGUUCUUUUCAUUUCUUUGGGCUGGGCAUCCCAUGUCCCUCUGCUCCGGGCACCAUGUCGUCUGUGCAUGUGUUGUUCAUUCCCUGUAUUCACUCUUCUUCUUCUACCAAUGAAUGAUACGCAAGCUUUGCAUAUUCGCGAAAAAAAGAAUAUAUUUUUCUCUGAACAGUAGAAUGUGAAUACCAAUGCUAACAAAACUGAACCGGGAAAAAAAGUGGAGUGAAUUGGGUCAUGCUGAUAGGCUUAGGGAGCGACUACCCCGUCGCAUUUCCCCAAAACCUCAUCUUGCUCUCCAUGCUCUCCCCUUCUUCCUUACACCAAUGCCGCUACUUAGUUUCCUCCAACUUCUCUAUCGCUCUUUCUGCGUCACCACUGCCACGCCUCUUCCUUCUCUGUUGUUGGUGGUGGCACAGCCAACACCGUCGCUUUUGGAACUCCACUUAAUAGUAGACAAAAUAAUCUGUACUUGGGAUAUUUAAAAAGUAGCAACUGUAAAGAUAUUUAUGCGUUUGGGAUAUUUAAAAAGUAGCUCUUCUUCUAGAAAAGUACCCUGUAGCUUAGCUUUAUUUCCAGUUAUAUAGUAAAAUUCUGAAGAAAAUUUGAUGAGGUAAUAUAGCAUACAUGUUAGUCAAAUGCAAGAACUUAGAAGUUCUGUUUUUAGCUAUUCAGUCAGACAGAACAUAUAUUAGAUCACAACAGAUAUGCAGGUUUUGAAAAAUAAUUGGCACUAUAAGUCUCUCCCGCUACUCUGUUCUAUAAUAGCAAGGAAAGAGCAGGCAAUUGAACAGAAUACGGCCAUGUGUGUCGAUGGUCAGGAUUCAUUACUGUAUGUCUACUUUACUGUAACAGUUCAAAGAUCACAGUAAAUCACACAUUCAGUAUUAUUACUUAUUAGCACCAUAUGGACCGAAUCCAGUGCCAACAAGAAGCUAGAACAAACUUAACCACAUCAAAUUCGAUACUGGUAGAGCAACAACUCUAUAUCUACCAUACUGGGUGGUUUGACAACCAAAGACAUUGCUGAAAUUUGCUGAAAAAAACUCCUAUCAAUAUCUGAUGAACCUGUCGCAUGGUCCUUCACCAGAGACUUUACAACCUCGUGCUAGCAUAGGUGUGUCAUCAUCUUCAGUGAGCAUGUACUCCAGCUGGUCCUGGACAAUGUACUUGGGCAGUUGGGCUCCCGUGCUAUCGUUGACAGCCCAGACGCCGUAUGGUGAAAUACCUAGAGGAAGAUGGCGGCCGCCGGUGUCGGAUCUGCCGGCGGAGGCGUGCUAGGACAUUAUUGUACUGGGCGCUGAAUCACCAAAACGUGGUCAUACCAAACACAUGAACAACUACCGAUCCAGAAGAGGAAUCACAUACUUGGAGAAUAGCUCUCGUGGAGGCGGCCACCGCGAUCGCCCCCCACAUUCGCAGCGCUGUCGACCUUGCCGCGCUCCUACCAUUGUCGAUGCCGACCAAGGGAAGAAGUUCUUCCCGACCCGAUGUGCGCGCCCAUGAGAGUGGACGUAGGCGAUGGACGGCAACGCAUCGCACUGCGGUGCGACGAGAAGGAAGGAAAGGCGGCCGUGUGAGAGCGGUAUCGCCGGCUGGCGGUGCUGGGUUGGGGAUGUGGCUCGGCUAGAGAUGGGGGGCGCCCCGCGAUCGGAACAGCAGCCUGGGGGACGGGAGGCGGGUAGAAAGCAGGGGUGCGUGGGCGUGAGGUCGGAUUGGAUUGGAUGAGCUCGCGUGUUGGGAUGCCCAAGUUCGUGGGUUCGUGGGUCAUAACCGCAGGGAGUUUUGUGGAUCUUUCGUCGCUGUUUUUUUUCGUGGGGCAGCGAUAGGAGUAGGAGGUCGAACCAUCACGACGUUCGAUCCCCUUUAAUAGUAGAGAUAUAUUUGGAUCUCCAAGACUCCAACUAAUCCUAGAGGCUGGGCUUGGCGGGCUCAAGUUGUAAAUCUGACACUUCAUAUAUUUACUGUAUAUGCAAAGUAUGUACGAAAUAGAAAUAUCGGACAAAAAUAAGAUGUGUGUAUGAAUUGCUAUAAACAAAAUAUGCAAAUAAUUUAAAUUGUUAAACAUUGAGAUAAAAGGAGGUAUAUCUCAUGGACGAAUUUGUGAUUAGAUUGUUUGUGUGUAUUACAUACGCUGCAAAACUAAUUGUCAGAAUAUUACAAGUAUUAAACCUGCACUGUUAGCCACGAAGCAUUAUGUGAUCUUGGCAAGCUGGCACCUAGCUUUAGCUUUCUUACAGGUGAUGCUGCCGAGACAAAAGCAUUAUAGACUUUCAUUGGUUUGGCCACAUUGGAAAAAUCAGUUCGCGAGGUAGUAACUGUACCUCCCCUCGGACGAAGUCAGGUAGGUACGUAUUUGGUUUCUUGGUGCCUGGUCGUCCGGCAGGAGAGGUAGAGAUUAGUGACCACCAGCGCAGCCGAUCCAGGCAGCACAGCCAGGCGCGACGUCGGCGCAACGAGUUCCCUGUCAUUUUCUGUGGUGGGGAUCCCGGUCAAGCCUCCACAGGCGCCGGUCUAGGGCUGAUCCGUUCAUGCACUCGUCGUGGCUCCAGGGCACAUCACAUGGGCGGACGACACGGAAGCCCCUAGCCUCGAUUUGGUUGAGGGUCCGUUUGAGGCUGGAACCCGUCGACAAGGGCGGACUGGGCGAUUCGCUCGAAGCCAGCCGUCCUCGGUCCGGAUGAGCUGGGCUCCUGUGAUGUUGUCUGCCUUUUCCCGUUCAUGGUGAGUUCCUCACAUCAUCAUCGAAGAUCCAACGCGUAAGGAAACCGACUUAGGAAGGAAAGAUCAAUCAUGACGUGAUCGAUCCGGAGUUGUGGUGACGCGAGUCAGGAGGAACGCUUUUGCUGGGCUUGGCUGAUCGAUCGGAUCGAGUUCAGGUAAGAACCAGGUCGGACGGACAUUACGAUUUUGUCUAUAUAAAUCAUAAAAACGUAUUAUGACAUGAGAAGAAAGCGUAUUGUGACGGUGAACCCGACAAAGUCAAUCCGUGCUUUAUUAUUAGGGAGAGACUAGCAAAAGUGCCCAUGCGUUGCAACGGGUGAACAACAAAAAAGAUGAGAAAAUUUAUAGACCCAAAAUAAAAUAAUUCGAGUUCAGGCAAAUUGCACCAAUAUUAUCCAUCAGUUUUACAGAUUGAGAAUUAAGAAUAAAUGAUGCAAGAGAGCAAAGAAUACGAGACAUCAAAUUUAUGACAAAAAAAAUAGACCAAUGAUUUUUAAUGAUGUCGGUAGUCAAUCCCCCUACGGGGGUGUGCGUUGCAACGGGAGACACAAAAAAUACAUGCUAGCCAAAUAAGUAUGACUUAAUAUCCAGACAUAUGAGUGUUCUCUAUUUUAACACGGUGGCUCACCAUGUUGCCACGUAUCUUUCUUCUCACUCUCGUUGAUGAUGGACACAAUGUCCACGUGAUCAUAAUGCAUUCGACGUGAUAAAUCCCUAUGCAAUGAGCUUGUCACUGCACGAAACACUUGCCAUUGUCUCGCGCAAGGGAAUAUUUAAAUCUUUAAAAACAAAUCUCAUCGACCACGAACUACUCUCAAUGCCUAGACAUAUAGACUUUCCAAAAACCUAUCAAAUCCUAGACAUAAAAUACUUCUGAAUCGGCGAACAGUUUUUUGAAUCGACAAACAUCUUUUUGAAAUUAGGACAUCUUUAUAAAAUCACGAACAUUUGUUUUGUUUAGAGAAACAUUUAUUGAAAUGCAUGAAUAGUUUUUGAAUUCAUGAAUAUUUUUUGACUUAGCUAACAUUUUUUGAAUUGAUGACUUUUUUAAAUUGGGGGCUGAAUUUUGAAUUUCACAAAAGACAUAUAAUUUUUUGAAUAUUUUCUAAAAAAAUUCAUGGACAUUUUUUCCAGAUUCACGAAUAUGUUUUGAAUACACAAUCAUUUUUUUCAAAAUCAUGAACUGAUUGUACUUCCUGACAUGUUUUUCCAGAUUGUGAUUUUUCAUAAUUUGUGAACAGUUUCGUAAAAUCACCAAUAUUUUUUGAAACAGCGAAAAUUUUAUUAUUUCCUGAAGUUUUUUUUAAUUCACUCAUAUUUUAUAAUUUCUCUGAAAAAUUAUAACUGAAAACUUUUUAUAAUUUCGAAUUGUCAAAUAAAUUUAAAGAAGGAAAAACUAAAACAGAAAUGAGAAAAGAAAAGAAAAGACAAAAUAAAAAAAAACAGGAGCGUCACGGCCUACCGGCCGGCCCAUGAAGGCGUAAGGUGUAGAGGAGGUGCCUAAGAAAAAAGGAGGCAAAAGAAGGGUACUACCAGGAUUCGAACCCUGGUCUGCUGUGUAGAAGCAACAGCCUCUAGCCACUACGAUGGUAGUGUGUGUGUCAUAAAUAGGGCAUCGCCUUUAUAAAACCACUGAGCACGGCGGCGCCUUUGAAAAUAAAAAAAGAAUCGUUUUCUUAACUUACGGGUGGCAUAGCGGGUAAUUUAUAGCUAAAUUCGGGGGCAAUUAUUUGGACGAACGACCAGAAACACUAUUUGCUUUAUUAUUACUAGCAAAUAUGCCCGUGCGUUGCAACGGGAGACAAAAAAUUAUGGCUAACCAAAUAAGUAUGACUCAAUAUCCUGAUAUAUAAGCGUACUCUAUUUUAACAUAGUGGCUCAUCAUGUUGCCAUUUUUUUACCCUAGCCGAUGAUGGCCGCGAUGUCCACGUGAUCACAAUGCAUUCGACGCGGUAAAUCCCAAGGCUAUGAGUUCGCCGGUGCAUGCCACACGUGUCAUUUUGUUGCGCAAGGGAACGUUUAAAACUUUAAAAACAAAUCUCAUUGACCACGAAAUACUCCCAACGCCAAGACAUAUAAAGACUUUCGAAAAACUAAUCAAAUCCUAGACAUAAAAUACUUUUGAACCAGUGAACAAUUUUUCGAAUAGACAAACAAUUUUUUUUGAAAUUUUUGAUUUUCUCAAAAAAAUGAUAAAGAUUAGUUUUCUUUACAAAAGAAUUUAAAUGUAUGAACCGGUUUCGAAUUCAUUAACAGUUUUUGACCCAACAAACAUUUUUAGAACCGAUGAAUUUUUUUAAAAUUAUGGAACAAAUAUUUAUUUUUAUUUUUGUGAACAUUUUCUAAAAUGUCAUGAACAUUUUUUUCAGAUUCCCGAAUAUGUUUUGAAUACACGGUCAUUUUUUUAAAAUCAUGAACAUGAUUUUAUUUGCCGACCAUUUUUUCUAAAUCAUGAUUUAUUUAUAAUUUUGCGAACAGUUUUGCAAAACCACCAACAUUUUUUUAAUCUGCAAAAUUUUUAUGAUUUUCUAAACAUUUUUGAAUUCACAUAUAUUUUAUGAUUUCUCAAAGAUUUUUUUUUGAAAAAGCGCAACUUUUAAAAUAUUCAAAUCCCAAAUUAAUUUAAAGAGAAAAGAAGAAAGAAAACAGAAUGAGAAAAAAAAGUAAAAUGAAUAAAAAACAGGGAAGUGAAGUCCCACACAUGCGUGAGAAAAGAAAGAUAAAAAUUGCAAAACAGGGGAUCAAACCCUGGUCUGGUCGAUAGAGGAGCGAUCGGCCAACCACCCUGGUGCGCCUCAUCCUGUUACAUUUACUCGUCGCACCACUAUAAAACAAUGAACGGGGCGGCGAUAUUUGGUCCGAAUAUUUGAAUCGUUUUUUCACUUAUGGGUGGCAUUGGUGGGUAAUUUUUACUAACUUGGAGGGUAAUUUUAAUGACGGACGACCAGAAGCAAUAGCCNNNNNNNNNNNNNNNNNNNNNNNNNNNNNNNNNNNNNNNNNNNNNNNNNNNNNNNNNNNNNNNNNNNNNNNNNNNNNNNNNNNNNNNNNNNNNNNNNNNNNNNNNNNNNNNNNNNNNNNNNNNNNNNNNNNNNNNNNNNNNNNNNNNNNNNNNNNNNNNNNNNNNNNNNNNNNNNNNNNNNNNNNNNNNNNNNNNNNNNNNNNNNNNNNNNNNNNNNNNNNNNNNNNNNNNNNNNNNNNNNNNNNNNNNNNNNNNNNNNNNNNNNNNNNNNNNNNNNNNNNNNNNNNNNNNNNNNNNNNNNNNNNNNNNNNNNNNNNNNNNNNNNNNNNNNNNNNNNNNNNNNNNNNNNNNNNNNNNNNNNNNNNNNNNNNNNNNNNNNNNNNNNNNNNNNNNNNNNNNNNNNNNNNNNNNNNNNNNNNNNNNNNNNNNNNNNNNNNNNNNNNNNNNNNNNNNNNNNNNNNNNNNNNNNNNNNNNNNNNNNNNNNNNNNNNNNNNNNNNNNNNNNNNNNNNNNNNNNNNNNNNNNNNNNNNNNNNNNNNNNNNNNNNNNNNNNNNNNNNNNNNNNNNNNNNNNNNNNNNNNNNNNNNNNNNNNNNNNNNNNNNNNNNNNNNNNNNNNNNNNNNNNNNNNNNNNNNNNNNNNNNNNNNNNNNNNNNNNNNNNNAAUGCCCGUGCGUUGCAACGACAUGGAAUCUUGCAAAAUCUACUCAAUGUGUCAUUAGAUACAAUUUUUUAAUUUGAGUUGGAAUCACUGUGACUUAUUGAAGUUAUCACGCCGGUAGGCUUGAAAUAAAACAUGGGCAACUUUGUUUGCCGAACGACGCACCCAACAAACCUUGGACUCCAUGAAGUUCUAAAAAGUUCAUUAUCAUUACGCACCAUUUCUUAUAUUCAGUUUUAAUAAACGUGAUUGUUGUUUCUCGGCUGAAUAUUGGUCAUUAAGAAGCCACCUCGAUAUUCUUCGCCUGACUGAAGAAUAAUUCAUGGAAUAGUCCCUAAUUUUUUUGUUUCUUUUCGGAAAACAUGAUUUUUUAAUAAAACGAAAUGAUCUAUUAAAAAUAAAAAAUAAUAGCAUUUUUCUGAACAUUUCUAAAUGCAUUUUUUAAAUGUAACAACUUUUGGGAAUUUUGACCAGUUUUUAUAAAGUGUGAAUAUAUAUAACUGUGUGCUUAUUAUAAAACGAUUUUUACUAUGUUGGGAAUUUUUAGAUAUAUAAGUUUGUUGUACUUUUCAUUUUUGUUUUCUGUUCCUGUUUUAUUUUAUGUUAUACUAAUUUGCGAUUACAAAAAGGUUCUAAGAUUGCAAAAAACAUUGUUAGUUUUGACUUCUCAAAAACAGUUCUUGAAUUCAAAAAAUGUCCAUGAUUUCAAAAAAAUUAAAAAUAUAUUUUCAUGAACAAUUUUUUAUUUUUACGGAAAAAAUUAUAAGCAUUCUUUUAUAAUGAUGAACGUUUUUUAAACUUGAAUAACAACUUUUAAAUUCGGUAAAGAAAUGAAUUUGUUGGACUUUUUUUUUAAAUGAUGAACACAAUUUUAAUUUAAUGAACAUUUUUUUAGGUCGGUGAACAAAUUUUAAUGAACAUUUUUAAAUCCGAUGAAAAUAUUGAAUUUGAUGAACCCUUUUUUGACAUAGAUGAACAUUUUCUGAAAUUCGAUGAACAAAAAAUUCUUCGCGAAAUUGAAAAGAAAUUUCACAAAAAAAUUGAAAAAGUUAAGAUGAGAAAAGAAGAAAGAAAAAGUUGAAAAGAAAAGAAAAUGAAGGGAAAAAAGAAAGAAAAAGAAAAUAUGAAUAAAAAAGCAAAAAAUGGGCUUGCCCAUGAGAACUCCCAGCGCGGGAGGGGUGGUGUGCGCGGUAGCGCCAUAUAGGCUUCCCCCAUAGAGAACACUUGGUAUUAAAAAAAGGGAGUGUCUAUAUUACAAACGACUGAAAUUGAAUUGGCCUUCAAAAAAAAACCAACCAGUAAAAAUUUGAGACCAACUGAAAAAAAAACUUGACUGAAAAUAAAGGGGCAUUCAACCAAUUUUUUCAGGCACAACAAACAUGGCACGUGUAUGUAUGACCUAUGCUCUCUAUGAUCCAUGAGCAAGCAAUGAAAGGGCCCAAAAAGCAACACUGCCAUGUCAGUACUCUUACGACGUUCUCCAGGUUAUUGACAGUUUUGUUUUCUUCACAAUACUAUUGGAACAAAACCUGAAAUUGUCAUGGCAUUCUCAAGGAUAUGAAGUUGAUACUUGUGGAAGAAACUCCUAAACACAAACAUACUAUAAAUUCAUAAUUGGGCUGCCGUAAAAUCAUCAUCAACCUGCUGUACACUGAUCAACACAAGAUGAGCUAAUCACAUACUAAACAUUUCAUCGUUAUGAAGCUUUAAAUAAAGUGGCUUCAGUUGAAAUUUACAGUCAUCUCACUAUGAAUAAACAGUAACUUUUAAAGUGUAUCACAUAUUCAGCUUUGAGGAAUUUUACAGUGUUCAUUUUAUUAAAAUUCCAGUCAAUAACAACCAAAUCACAACAAAGAUAUUGGAACUUCAGUAAAAAUAAGGAGAAACAACCAUUAACAAUGUGUGCUUUAUGAUCAGAUAAGAAUGAGAAAGAGGAUGGAGGAAGAAGGGGACAGAAUAGCUACACAAUCAGGAAACUACAGUCACACCAAGAAGACAAACUAUAGGUCAGUACUCUCACAAUCUCCUUCAAAUAGUUCUUCCAGUAAAAAAUGUAGCACUGUAAAUUCAGGUAACUGUAUAGUGUAAAAUCUAUCACUGUAAAAUUCAAAAAUCACAACCUUUAGGCUACAACUAUAAAUUACAGAAGUUAUAGGAUUGUAGAACUUCAAACAGGGUGGUGUAAAUUCAAACAUAAGGUCACUGUAAAUUCAAACAAUCAAAAAAAUUAUAGUGCGGUAAAUUAUAGAAGCCAUAGGACAGUAAAUCCAUCAUCAGGUUAGUCAUCAAUUAACUAUAAUUUACUACGAAUACAAACAAAAAAGUAGACUUCUACGAAUACUACAGUACUGUAAAAUCCGAAGGUUGAGGUCGGUCGUGGCGCCCAUGCAUUGCAUCAGAAAAAAAUCGCACGCCCUUAUGGUUGUCCGGAUCUUCUACUUGAAGACGGCUAAUCAUUACGCCGUCGUUCCAAGCUCUUCCUCGCUUCCCUCAUUGUUUGAUAAUCUAUCUAGACCUUUUCUAAUGGAUCACUUGGCAUGCUGUUUACAAAGCACAUAUCAGCACACUAUAACACUGCCAAUAGUAUUCAUACAUGGAAAGCCCACGCAACGUUCAAUCCUUCUUUACCGGGUCUUUCUCUUAUUGUCACGUUGUAACCACACCCCUUAACCCUCUACACAACUGUCAUUCCUUGUUCACCGGGUCUAUCAUUUGCCACGUUAUACCCACACCUCACCUCCUGCUGUUCUAUAUUUGUAAGAAUCUUGUUGAUCCGCUAAGCAUCUUGUUUCAGUAGAUAAGUCGAGUUGUAUAGCCGUCUAACUCGUAUUAUCAUUGGUGCUUACUGAACCACAUAAGAAUUGGACUCUUGUGAUCCUGAAUAAUGAACUGAAUCUGUGACAAAAAAUGCUCAACAUUAUGAAUAUUUAAUUAAAAAAAUCAGGACCUGAACGAUUAUAUGCAUAAGCCUGAUGGUUGCAUAUAAUACAAAGAUUGUUGAACCGGUGAUUGCUAAGAGGUCAGUUUGUAAGGAAACUGUAGUAGAAUUUGAUAAUUCUAAGCUUGUAAGGAAACCUGGGUAGAGAAAUGACCUAUUGGGUGUCGCCUUCUAGGAAAUCUACCCUGUUCUGAAGGCUUGUGUAGAUGAAUUAUUUUCUAUGUGAAAAGAUAUACCUGUACACGCUUCGCCUUUGCCCGCUAAUAGCGGCUAAGAAGCAUGAUCAGCUAGAUCACCAUCACUGGAUUUAACCAGAACAAAAAGCAAACCAUUUUAUACAUGAAUAUCUAUAUGACUGCAGUCAGAACUAAAAGUGCCCGAUUUUAAAUAUGGGUUGGGUGGCCUGCAGGAGUGCAGUACUUGAGAGACUAUGCUAGUGUAGUAAACACAAAUUUGGCCAGUCAACUUCUAUAGGGAAUGCAAAACACUUAUGAAAUAAGAAACAGAGAACAUCUAAGCAGAAAUAAGGUACAUGUUUGCUUACGAAUGGUACUAACAUGAUAUAUUUUCUGCCCGCCGGUAAGUUAUCAAGCAAGAUCAUCAAAUGCUUCUUUGUAGACCACAUUGUGAGUAUUGCCAAUAGUUUUCAGGAGAGUUAUUUUCAGUCAAAGCUGGAACAUGAAGACUGACUAAGAAAUACUCACAUCAGUCAAAAUAAGAAUCCUGGGCUGAAAAUUUGAGAUGUACAUAACUACUAUAAUGUAGCAACGAACCCAUGCUCUUUUUUCAUUAUCACUGCUGCUUUUUGACACUCAAGCGGACAUUUGUAUUGGCAACUAUAAGAAAACUGAAAAAUAUAUUAGAUAGAGCGGGCGGUGAGGUCCCAGGUGGGGGGAGGGGGGGAGGCGGCAGGGUGGCACUCGGUAGGCAGAGCGACCGAUGACGGUGUGGUCGCGUGCGAAAUCAUAGUCAGAACUUUGCAUUUGAAGGUACACGCUCAAAGGAAAAAAAUUGCUCAGUGCCAAAAGUAUCAAAUGCCUAAAACUGAAAAUCACAUCCUGAACUGAGCAUUUUAUUAAGAAUCCGCAAAAUAAGUUAAAGACAACAGUACGAGAACAGGUGAACGGUGAUCUGAUUUCAACACAAAAUACUCAUGAAGAAAUAAAAUGGGUGGACAGUGAUUUGGUUUCUAAGCAUAAAAUUGAUAAUGUUUAUGCCACACAUUAAGCACAUAAUGUGUGUGUAUUUGGAGCCUGAAACAUCUACCAACUAAAACUACUCCCAAAGGCAAUCUUCUAGUUCAAUCUUAAGACGUAACACAUAAAGCUACAGACUACAAUUUUGAGGCAC